rnacentral:rRNA from 1 species
AUUGAACGCUGGCGGCGUGCUUAACACAUGCAAGUCGAUCGGUAACGCGGGGGCAACCCUGGCGACGAGAGGCGGACGGGUGAGGAACGCUUGGGAAUCUGCCUAUCAGCGGGGGACAACCCGGGGAAACUCGGGCUAAUACCGCAUACGCUCUACGGAGGAAAGCCGGGGACCGCAAGGCCUGGCACUGAUAGAUGAGCCCAAGUCGGAUUAGCUAGUUGGCGGGGUAACGGCCCACCAAGGCGACGAUCCGUAGCUGGUCUGAGAGGACGAUCAGCCAAACUGGGAAUGAGACACGGCCCAGACUCCUACGGGAGGCAGCAGUGGGGAAUAUUGGACAAUGGGGGAAACCCUGAUCCAGCGACGCCGCGUGGGUGAAGAAGGCCUGCGGGUUGUAAAGCCCUUUCGGUAGGGACGAAAGCUCUCGACCUAACACGUCGGGAGGUUGACUUAACCUACAAAAGAAGCACCGGCUAACUCUGUGCCAGCCGCCGCGGUAAGAC